rnacentral:rRNA from 1 species
CCUACGGGAGGCAGCAGUGGGGAAUAUUGGGCAAUGGGCGCAAGCCUGACCCAGCAACGCCGCGUGAAGGAAGAAGGCUUUCGGGUUGUAAACUUCUUUUCUCAGGGACGAAGAAAGUGACGGUACCUGAGGAAUAAGCCACGGCUAACUACGUGCCAGCAGCCGCGGUAAUACGUAGGUUGCAAGCGUUAUCCGGAUGUAUUGGGUGGAAAGGGCGUGUAGGCGGGAUCGCAAGUCAGAUGUGAAAACUCAGGGCUCAACCCUGAGCCUGCAUUUGAAACUGUGUUUCUUGAGUGCUGGGGAGGCAAGCGGAAUUCCGUGUGUAGCGGUGAAAUGCGUAGAUAUACGGAGGAACACCAGUGGCGAAGGCGGAUUGCUGGACAGUAACUGACGCUGAGGCGCGAAAGCGUGGGGAGCAAACAGGAUUAGAUACCCUAGUAGUC